UUAAUUGUCGCUUGUCUUCUUCUCAAAAGUUCUGCAGCUAGGGAUAAAAAAGGAUUUAAAAAAAUAAUUUGAUAAUGAAUUAUCAUUAUGUCAUUAUCAAAAGUCUCAUUAUCUUGCACAUUUUCAAGUAUACAUGUUAAAUG